GAGGAAGAGGAAUUAAACGGACAUCGGAGAGGGAAUUUGACCGACACUGUGACGUGCCUGGACGGAGGAUUACCACAGUCUCCAACCGUGGGGAGAUUUUGUCUUCCCUCUAAAAAUAGGCGACUUUGGUGCUCAGCCUGCUGCAGGUCUGCCCGCCCCCGCUCGGAGAUGAUAACGGAGAUGCUGACUGGUUGAAAGACGAGCUUUCAGUCAGCGCCUCAGAAUUUGUUGGUUAAACUCCAAACUGCAUUUCUCCAAGAAAAAUGAUUCCGGAGCUCCUCGCUGGAUUAUUACAGUAGGGUUGUCUGUGGUGUGAUUUGUUGGUGAUCGGAGCUGGACACCGCCCGGACCCCUGCUACCGGACCGGGAUUUCAGCUUCCAGCCCUUCUUGCUGACGGGAGGAAACUGCGCACAUAACCGGAACCAGCCGUGCAGAGACCCACACGGAUGCUUGAAUAAGUGAGAAGGUUAUUUGCACUCAAGGACACCCUCCGUGUUGGUGGUGGGUGUAGUUUCGUUGGGUUUUUGGAAGCACAGACCGGAGCUGCGCGCAGAUUUCUCGCGGAUUUAAAGUGCUCUACCAUAGAAAGGGAGAAAAGGCUCCAAUCAAAAUGUGCCUCGUGGUUUGACCUGAAGGAAGGAAGAGUGACUGCAUCAAACAUCCGAGAAGCCUGCUACACCGACCCAAACAAACCAGCAGUAUCUCUGCUAAAGAAAUGGUGUUAUCAUGUGGCCUUCAAGAUGACGAACAACACACCACAGUCGCUCAGGUGAGACAUUGAACAUGAAGAACAGGUCGUUCAGGAGUAUAUCAACAUGAAGGAGAGCCACCACACCAGCCUCACUAUCAGGCAGAGUACAUCACAGCAGAUUACACAGACAACAAGCUCCAGUAUCCCAACGAGUGUACCAAGGUUCCAUGAUGAGGUUGGGUGGCAGACAGACUCCCCACAAGUCUCAGAGGCCACACAGACAUACCUACCUCCAAAGGGGGUCAUCAGUCCACACACAGUGGGUCUGGGGUACACUAAGAGACAAGCAAAGGUACGCACACACACCUAAAGAAUUGUCCAACUGCUGAAAUCUGAGCUAGAAUAUCAGAAAAAUUUGAUUUCAUUGUUUAAUUGCGGAUUUUAGCUUUUUAUAUUGUAGCUUGUUGCUUUCUGUGAUGCAUUACAACGCAAAGACCUGUCGCCCUGACCUCUGUGGUGAUGAAGUCUUUUGAGCGCUGAAGUAGCAAAAACUCAAAAAUCAGGAUAUGUUGGGGACUCGAUGGCACUGGUGUUGGAGGAGAUGUUUCAGGAACCAGAACCAUUCAUGGAGGAGCUGCAGAAAAUUCCUGUCUCUCAAAAGAAGGAGGGUGGCUCGACACGUGUCCAGGUGUAGUCAAGGGGCGGGCCGAAGCCAACAUACUGUCCAGUCGGGUCAGGAAACUCAGGACGAAUCCUCAGGACGACACACGACAGGAUCACCACUCCAACCCCUGCCAAGUGUCUGCACAGCCUGUAUGAGACAAUGUAGUUGGACGUUAAUAUGUUACUUCUCAUUUUGUAUUUACACGUAUAGUUCUACACAUUUAAAUGUUUUUUUAACCUUAGCUGAGAAUA